UUUUUCUUCACUUUCCAGACGGUGAAAGUCCCAACUGAACAGCAGGAAAAGGAAGACAACGAGAAUGACUCACAGAGCCAAAGUCAUGAAUCUGAUGACGUCAUCUACCAGGUCAUCCCUCGCCAAGCACAGGGAGGCGUCUAGGGAGGCACCUAGACAUGGGGCUUCUUCCUGGAAGGUGCACGCUGGGAUCGUGAACAACAUUGCUUGGCGGAGAUGUCAGCCAAGCAGCUACAUGACCAGUUACCUAUCAUCCUUUUCCAACCUGCUGCCCUCCCAGACAUGUCACACCAUGAGGGUAUGUGCCCCCAACACACCUUCUCUUUACUCAUUCCUUUACCUUGCCCUACAUGUUCAAUUUAAUUUUCUUUAUCACUGAGUCAGACCAGGUAUUCUCAUCAAGGUGAUUUAACCAUAUCAUUGGUUAAGAUUUUAUGGGUACCUGAAAAUUGCUCCAUGUCAAAAGUAAUGAUAUGUCAGAAUACUAUUUACAAAAUGAAAUUUGGUUUAUGUACUUUAUAAUAAAACCUAGAUUUCAAACUAUUUGAAACUAUUGAAUGGAUAUAACCUAGAAUACAGUAGACAAUUUUUUUCUGCAAAUUGUUAAAUGACUGGAUUAUUUUUAUACACCAGUUAUUCCUGUUCUCAGUGGAUUUAAAUGUAAAUUAAGUGGUAUACGUAUAUGUUUUAGUUUAUAUCGGCAAAUAUAUCUUGGUGACAACUUUA